CCUGGCUGGCUUAGCUAGAAGAGCAUGCGACUCUUGAUCUUGGGGCCCUUAGUUCCAGCUCUACACUGGAUG
rnacentral:tRNA from 1 species